UUACCAUUCUAUCUAUUCAAGGAAUUUCCAACUAUCAAUGAAUUCCAUGCGUCACCUCUUAAUAAUCAUUUAUAUUGCAACUAGUACUUAGCAUUAUAUACAUACGGGCAACUAUCCAUGUUCUUUUCCCCCGCUCUUCUCACACUAUGUCACUAUUCUAUUAGUUUCAUUACCCAUUCAUUUCUUUUAGUCCUGCCACGGUUGACUCUACCCUUUGAGAUAUUUUUCUCCCCUACUUCGAUGCAGUGGCUGGCCGCGCAUCACAGAUCAUUGUCUUUAGAUCUGUAUUCGCACCACUAGAUGGAGCUCUCCAUCCUGGAGCGAUGCCUCUCAUGUGUGGCGCCGCGUUGUUUGUAUCUGCGGCGCGCACACAUGGUGAGGAGACGCGCGGCUGCUGCGGAUGACGUCACACGCACCUCCGUGCACUACGUCCUCUCCGCACUGAGCGAGUCCCUAUUUAAACCCCUGCACACAAGACCGAAUUGCUGCAGUCUCUCGGGAGACUCGUGGAGGAGAGUGCCAUCUCACAUACUGAACCAGGCUUAUCAUUGCCUUAAUUCUUGGCUAUCAGCCGGCAUCCAGCUCUGGUUUCUCAUUUCUACUACCAGGAAAUGUUGCAUUUAUUUGAGGAUUGUUAGAAGGUAGUGGUCGCUCUCUACCUUCCCCCUUCUCCUCAAGCCCUGUCCUCCUUCAUUGAAGGUAGGAUGUCCCCUUUAUCACUUUUGUUAUUAUCUAAUACCAGCUUGAUAUUCUAUUCAUUGUAUUAUCUUUUAUCUCUUACCUUUUAGACUGUUAUUAUUAAGUUUAUGCGGGUCAUUCCCCUACAUUUUUUACAACGUCCAGCAGCCCGGACACAGUCUAUUUCUCAUUUUAUUGACAGAAAAUUUAUAUAUCGAUCCCCCUACCAAGCAAUACUAUCUUUAAAACUACACUGCUGACUCCGUGAGGAAGCGCUGCUAAAGCGCGAAACCGGUCAAGUCCACCUACGCAGCAAGCCAAACCACCGCAGACAUUUCUCUGCCUGCAUUUCCACAACGUGACAGGAUUACUAAUUACAUUCAUGCACCUUAUUCCAAUUAUUUUUGGAAGUGUUCAAUUUUAUUGUUGAUACCUUGUUAUAAUUUAUGUAUAUAUUCCUGUCAAUGUUCAUGGAUAGGCUUGCCUAGAUUAGCCUGUUAGAUGGUUUUUUGUGCUGGAAACGGCAAUACUUUUUCUUCUGUACUAUUAUUUUUUUCUACACAUUAUGAUAUUUUAUAUCUAAAAUAAACAAAUCUAUUUUUUAGAAAAAAUUCUUUUCUUGUAUAUAUAUUUUGACCAACCAAAUCGUGCCUAAAAAGUCCAAAAACUAGCCCCUAGUUCCCUCCUUUAUCAUUUAUACUAGGACGUGGCACCCUCUUUUUACUUUAUAAUAUCCACAUGCACACUACAUGUGAGGAUAUUG